rnacentral:rRNA from 1 species
GAUGAACGCUGGCGGCGUGCCUAAUACAUGCAAGUCGAGCGAACGGACGAGACGCUUGCUUCUCUGACGUUAGCGGCGGACGGGUGAGUAACACGUGGAUAACCUACCUAUAAGACUGGGAUAACUUCGGGAAACCGGAGCUAAUACCGGAUAAUAUUUUGAACCGCAUGGUUCAAAAGUGAAAGUCGGUCUUGCUGUCACUUAUAGAUGGAUCCGCGCUGCAUUAGCUAGUUGGUAAGGUAACGGCUUACCAAGGCAACGAUGCAUAGCCGACCUCAGAGGGUGAUCGGCCACACGGGAGGUGAGCCACGGUCAAGACGCCUAAGGGACGCAGCAGUAGGGAACCUGACGCAAUGGUGGAAAGCCUUACGGAGCGACGGCGCGCGAGUGACGACGGUGCUCGGAGCGUAAUACCCUGUUACUAGGGAAGAACAGAUGUGUAAUUAGCUGUGCAGAGAGUGACGGUAACUAAUCAGAAAGCAACGGCUAACUACGUG